rnacentral:rRNA from 1 species
UACGUAGGGGGCAAGCGUUGUCCGGAUUUACUGGGCGUAAAGAGCUCGUAGGUGGUUCGGUAAGUCGGAUGUGAAAUCUCCAGGCUCAACCUGGAGGGGUCAUUCGAUACUGCCGUGACUAGAGGUCGGUAGGGGAGUGUGGAAUUCCUGGUGGAGCGGUGAAAUGCGCAGAUAUCAGGAGGAACACCCGUAGCGAAGGCGGCACUCUGGGCCGAUACUGACACUGAGGAGCGAAAGCGUGGGGAGCGAACAGG